rnacentral:misc_RNA from 1 species
UGAGCUGGAGCGAAGCAUCAAUGAUCUCAGAUCUGAGAUGGGGGUAGCGCCUGACUUGGGUUCUUCUUUCUCCUUGGGAGGAGCUGAAGGAGAUGGAGAGCCCUCUACCCCCAUCUCAGAUCUGAGAUCGUUGACGCUUUGCUCCAACUCAUCUAUCCGGCUGCCCAUUUCAUCGAUCUUUGUAAUGAUGGAAUCCGACAUUGCCUGGAACCUGGAUUGCAUUUGCUGAAAGUAGAUUUUGCACAAAAGCUGUCAUAUCAGCAGUGCUCUGCUUUGGAUCUUCAGCAUGCCCAUCCAUUUCUGGAGUUCUGGCCUGGUAAGUUGGUUUGGAAUUUGGCUAGUUGGAUUUUGCGGCUGGAAGCAGAGACAAGCAGAGGGAAUUUCUGGAGAGAAAUGC